rnacentral:tRNA from 14 species
AAAGUGGCUGAGUGGUUUAAAGCGGCGGAUUGUAAUUCCGUUA